UAGAAAACAGAAUAUCCUUAUGCUUGAUUAAAUUAUGAAUGAAGUGUUGCAACAGCGCCUGUUGCUGGCGAGAAGUGGUAUGUACGGUCACCUGUGGGAAGUGCUCAGAACUGUGACGCCUCCAAACUGGUGAGACACGUUUUUGUAUUGUCCGGGAUUGAUUACUAUUUAGUGAAUAUUGACUGUUUAUAUUUUGAUUAGUACUUUGUAACAGACACAUAAAAAGUUUCGCUAAUUGGUAUUGACCAAAACUGUAUCCUAGAGUGAUAUUUUAAAGACAAUAACACACUUUUACUGUGUAAACUAAUUGGUGAUUAUUGAUGUGUUAUUUAGAGAAUCCCGUGACCCAAGUGGACUCACAGUCUCACAAUUUGCACUGUUUUACAGAACUGUGACGCCUCCAAACUGAGAAUCCCGUGACCCAAGUGGACUCACAGUCUCACAAUUUGCACUGUUUUACAGGACACUGUUAUUAAAGAAAUUCAUAAUCCAC